GACGAACGCUGGCGGCGUGCCUAAUACAUGCAAGUAGAACGCAGUUGCGAACGGGUGAGUAACGCGUAGGUAACCUGCCUCAUAGCGGGGGAUAACUAUUGGAAACGAUAGCUAAUACCGCAUACUGUGAGAUGGACCUGCGUUGUAUUAGCUAGUUGGUGAGGUAAAGGCUCACCAAGGCGACGAUACAUAGCCGACCUGAGAGGUGGACGGGCCAACCGGGACCUGGGACACGGCCAAGACUCUUCCGGGAGCAGGCGUUGGGAAAUCUUGGGAAAUGAGCGAAGUCUGGCCGAAGAAAGCCCGCGUGUUUGAAGAAGGUUUUCGGUCGGUAAGGUUUUGUCUUAGGGGAGCGGUAACUAACCAGAAAGCGACGGCUAACUACGUGCCAGCAGCCGCGGUAAUAC
rnacentral:rRNA from 1 species